UUUCAUUUUAUUUUCUUUCAAAGCAAACAACAGAAACCCACUUUCUCUCUCAAUUUACUUUUCUUUCUCUCCCUUUCUCUCAAACCAAACACAGCUAUAAGGGAGGGAAAUUUUCCACCAUUUAUUUUCGCGAAAAAAGAGAAAAAAAAACACCAAAACCCCCCAAAACCCCCGUUCUCUCUCUCUCUCUCUCUCUCAUCAGAAAACCACCACCAUCGGUAAUUUCCCCUUCUUUGAACUUGCUGCUGCAUUGGAGUUUGCCGCCUCCGUCGGAGUUCACCGCCACCAUCUAGCCCUGAAGUUUGCUGCUGUCAUUGACCCUGUAGUUUGCCGCCGAAUCCCAAUAAAAAAACCCUAGUUCUUCCUCUCCAAAUCGGAUCUCGCGGCCUCUCCUCCUCAUUUUCGCCGGACACCUGACUUAGCUUUGGUGGAAUAUUCAUGCUGUAAUUCAGAAAUACUGUUGCUAGCAAUACUUUUGCACGAGGAACACAACCUAUGACUUCUAAUGGGUUGGGCGAACAUUUACAGAAGGUGCCUACAGGUGUUCGCCGUUGCUUUGGUGAUCUACUUGGACUAUAAGGCUUAAACGCUUGCUGAAUCUGAUAUUACAGCUAAAAGGUUUGUGGAUGAAACUUGGCCAGUAUUUGCCUACUCGAGCCGUUGUGCUUCUUGAGAGGCUUAUAUAAACACCCUCAGACAGUUGCAGGAUUCUCUUCCUCCUCGUCCUCUGAAAGAGGUUCGCCGAACCCUAAAGAAGGAGUUUGGAAAAAUCCAUCAGUGAUCUUUUUUGUAAUUUUCUUGAAACACCUCUUGCAACAGCAUCCGUAUGUUUGCAUUAGCAUAUGGUUAUCGAUACGGAAUGAUUUAUACCCAAUUUUGCAUGAUAAACUUUAGUUUCAAGAAAUAUUUCGGUUUUGGUAGUUCUAAACGACGAUAGAUUAAUCAUCAUUCGGCUUGCACAAAUAACAACAAUAUGUUGCACAUUCUAUUUUGGAUUUUUGGCUCUGUAAAACUUGUGGACUUUGUGUCACUAUCUUGUGUUAGUUUAACUAUAUGAGAAAUUUAGUUCCUUAGUUUCUCCUUAUAGGACAUUGACUCUUUUUCACUAGUAGCUUGAAUCUUAUCUAUGUUUUAGA